UGGGGAAUUUUGGACAAUGGGGGAAACCCUGAUCCAGCCAUCCCGCGUGUGCGAUGAAGGCCUUCGGGUUGUAAAGCACUUUUGGCAGGAAAGAAACGUCGCGGGUUAAUACCCCGCGAAACUGACGGUACCUGCAGAAUAAGCACCGGCUAACUACGUGCCAGCAGCCGCGGUAAUACGUAGGGUGCAAGCGUUAAUCGGAAUUACUGGGCGUAAAGCGUGCGCAGGCGGUUCGGAAAGAAAGAUGUGAAAUCCCAGAGCUUAACUUUGGAACUGCGUUUUUAACUACCGGGCUAGAGUGUGUCAGAGGGAGGUGGAAUUCCGCGUGUAGCAGUGAAAUGCGUAGAUAUGCGGAGGAACACCGAUGGCGAAGGCAGCCUCCUGGGAUAACACUGACGCUCAUGCACGAAAGCGUGGGGAGCAAACAGGAUUAGAUACCCUGGUAGUCCACGCCCUAAACGAUGUCAACUAGCUGUUGGGGCCUUCGGGCCUUGGUAGCGCAGCUAACACGUGAAGUUGACCGCCUGGGGAGUACGGUCGCAAGAUUAAAACUCAAAUGAAUUGAC
rnacentral:rRNA from 1 species